rnacentral:rRNA from 1 species
CAGCAGCCACGGGAAUACGGAGGGGGCUAGCGUUGUUCGGAAUUACUGGGCGUAAAGCGCACGUAGGCGGCUUGGUAAGUUAGAGGUGAAAGCCCGGAGCUCAACUCCGGAAUUGCCUUUAAGACUGCCGAGCUAGUAGGUGAGAGAGGUAAGUGGAAUUCCGAGUGUAGAGGUGAAAUUCGUAGAUAUUCGGAAGAACACCAGUGGCGAAGGCGGCUUACUGGCUCAUUCUAGACGCUGAGGUGCGGAAGCGUGGGGAGCAAACAGGAUUAGAUACCCCGGUAGUCCCUGUCUCUUAUAA